AGAGUUUGAUCCUGGCUCAGGAUGAACGCUGGCGGCGUGCCUAACACAUGCAAGUCGAACGGAGUGCCAAAGACAAACAUUUCGGUGGGCGGCUUUGGUAACUGAGUGGCGGACGGGUGAGUAACGCGUGGACAACCUGCCGUGUACAGGGGGAUAACAGCCGGAAACGGCUGCUAAUACCGCAUAUGCGCACAGUGCCGCAUGGCACAGGGCGGAAAACGAUAGUGGUACACGAUGGGUCCGCGUCUGAUUAGAUAGUUGGCGGGGUAACGGCCCACCAAGUCGACGAUCAGUAGCCGGCCUGAGAGGGCGGACGGCCACACUGGGACUGAGACACGGCCCAGACUCCUGCGGGAGGCAGCAGUGGGGAAUAUUGCACAAUGGGGGGAACCCUGAUGCAGCGACGCCGCGUGAAGGAAGAAGUAUUUCGGUAUGUAAACUUCUAUCAGCAGGGAAGAAAAAGGACGGUACCUGACUAAGAAGCCCCGGCUAACUACGUG
rnacentral:rRNA from 1 species